rnacentral:rRNA from 1 species
GAUGAACGCUGACAGAAUGCUUAACACAUGCAAGUCAACUGUGGCGGACGGGUGAGUAACGCGUAAAGAACUUGCCUCACAGUUAGGGACAACAUUUGGAAACGAAUGCUAAUACCUGAUACUGUGAGAGAGCUUUGCGUCCCAUUAGCUAGUUGUAGAGGUAACGGCUCACCAAGGCGAGGAUGGGUAGCCGGCCUGAGAGGGUGAUCGGCCACAAGGGCAAUGGGACACGGCCCUUACUCCUACGGGAGGCAGUAGUGAGGAGUAUAGGACAAUGGACCAAAGUCUGAUCCAGCAAUUCUGUGUGCACGAUGAAGUUUUCGGAAGGUAAAGUGCUUUCAGUUGGGAAGCGGUACCAGCAGAAGAAGUGACGGCUAAAUACGUGCCAGCAGCCGCGGUAAUAC